UCAAACUUGGUCAUUUAGAGGAAGUAAAAGUCGUAACAAGGUUUCCGUAGGUGAACCUGCGGAAGGAUCAUUAUUGAAUAAACUUGGUGGGUUGUCGCUGGCUCUUCGGAGUAUGUGCACGCCUGCUAAUUUUAUCCAUCCACCUGUGCACCCUCUGUAGUCUUAGGAGAUGGAAGCGACUUUGGCUCGACAGGUUCGUCUGAACCUUUCGGAUGUAAGGAAUGCCUUUGCAAACUGCAUAGGCUUGCUUUGAAAGUCUGCUAUCACUUCUAAUACUAUGCUUUUUCAUACACCAUAUCGUAUGUUGCAGAAUGUAAUCAAUGGGCCUCUGUGCCUAUAAAUAUAUACAACUUUCAGCAACGGAUCUCUUGGCUCUCGCAUCGAUGAAGAACGCAGC
rnacentral:misc_RNA from 1 species